GUGAACCAGUACCGUGAGGGAAAGGCGAAAAGAACCCCGGCGAGGGGAGUGAAAAAGAACCUGAAACCGUGUACGUACAAGCAGUGGGAGCACAGGUUUACCUGUGUGACUGCGUACCUUUUGUAUAAUGGGUCAGCGACUUAUAUUCUGUAGCAAGGUUAACCGAAUAGGGGAGCCGGAGGGAAACCGAGUCUUAAUUGGGCGUUAAGUUGCAGGGUAUAGACCCGAAACCCGGUGAUCUAGCCAUGGGCAGGUUGAAGGUUGGGUAACACUAACUGGAGGACCGAACCGACUAAUGUUGAAAAAUUAGCGGAUGACCUGUGGCUGGGGGUGAAAGGCCAAUCAAACCGGGAGAUAGCUGGUUCUCCCCGAAAGCUAUUUAGGUAGCGCCUCGUGAAUUCAUCUCCGGGGGUAGAGCACUGUUUCGGCUAGGGGGCCAUCCCGGCUUACCAACCCGAUGCAAACUGCGAAUACCGGAGAAUGUUAUCACGGGAGACACACGGCGGGUGCUAACGUCCGUCGUGAAGAGGGAAACAACCCAGACCGCCAGCUAAGGUCCCAAAGUCAUGGUUAAGUGGGAAACGAUGUGGGAAGGCCCAGACAGCCAGGAUGUUGGCUUAGAAGCAGCCAUCAUUUAAAGAAAGCGUAAUAGCUCACUGGUCGAGUCGGCCUGCGCGGAAGAUGUAACGGGGCUAAACCAUGCACCGAAGCUGCGGCAGCGA
rnacentral:rRNA from 1 species